GCAAGUCGAGGGGUAACGAUCGGGAUUUCGGUUCUGAGGCGACGACCGGCGAACGGGUGAGUAACGCGUAUGCAACCUGCCUUUUACAGAGGGAUAGCUUUCGGAAACGAAAAUUAAUACCUCAUAACACUGCGAUUAGGCAUCUUUUUGCAGUUAAAACUUUGGUGGUAAAAGAUGGGCAUGCGUAACAUUAGCUAGUUGGUAAGGUAACGGCUUACCAAGGCAACGAUGUUUAGGGGACCUGAGAGGGUGAUC
rnacentral:rRNA from 1 species